CGUAAUCCCAUUUCACUAGUGAUGGCUGUUACUGGAUAAGCACAUGUGCAAAGCGUGGCAGAGGAUACAAGGCAGAAAGAAGCAGCACUCUGACUGUUUUCUGAAUUGUCAGUUAAAGACAAGAAGAUAAGAGUUUUGGGAGAGAAUGAGGAGGAGGUUGGUUUGCAGUAAAAUUUGGGCACUUUUAUGAUGAUGCUAGCUGCCUUAUGAAAAAUUUAAACCAGCAUAAUUUUUGUUUCUAAUUUUUGCUUCUCAGCUGUAAUUCAAAAAUACUAGCUCUCUGACACAGUGUGCCAACCCAAGUGUUGCUGCUGGAAUCAAGAGCUAGAAAAGCCUGACAAGAUACAACCUCAUCAAGGCAUAGUCUUUGAGUGGGACUCUUCAGUGAUUCUAAGUUUCUCUUCUGAUUAUUUACUUGUUGUCAGAUUAUCACAAAGGUCUGCACAAAUUUAGGCAGAUGUCAAGUUGCAUGGUUGUUGUGGUGAAAAUUUAAUGGAAACUUUAGUUUAACAAAUUCUACAAAGUCUUAUCAACCUUGGCAAGACUUCUGAGCUUUUCAACCUUCAUGCACCUUUUAACCAUUUGAAAAGUUGUCUGGCUGGCAUUUGAAAUGCUCAGUUAUUGCCAGUUUUUCUCAGAAAAAAUUACCUGACAUGCAUUCUUUAGGGCUUAUUUUUGUGCUGAAGAAAACAGCAUGGUGUAUUAUAAACCUGUUUUAGUGUCUCUGAACAGACACCCCUGUUCAUACAUGCACGUUUUUCCUUCCAGGCAAAACCAGCAAAUCCAGGGGGAUUGAUGGAAUGCUAGAUACCUCAUGAGAAUUCUGCAUUGUCAGAGCAUUCAUACCGAAUAUUUUAUAGAUACGUGUCCGGUUGGUUCCCCUGUUGAGGUUCUGAGUCCCUGGCUGUUACUGGUGUGUUGGAAAGCAAUGACUCCUCAGAUGUUCCUGUAUACCUUUAUCUGUCUGCCUCCAAUUACUUUAUGAGCUCAUGAAAAUGAACACAGGGCAUCUUUGACAUUCCUCUCUCUCAUUUCCUCUCCUAUUUUUUACAUAGGGCACUUUUGCCAAUAACUCUUUCCUAGUAAAACAAUGCCUCUGAAUUCAUGCUGUGUGUGUAUGUGAUUCCAUGUACCCUCCCUCCCCACCUCCCCAAAUGUUUGAGCCUGUUGGCAAAAGAAUUCAGAUCUGAAAGUGAAGUUCCUGUGAGGUUGAAAGAGAGAGGCAGAUGGGUACAUGAGAGAGCCUGUUUGUGCUAGAAGCGUCAACGUGCUACCAGCUCAGCUCACCUUUUAUCAGGCACCAGAGAGCUCCCACUGGAGCAUGCCCUUGGAAAUCAGACUUCAUCCUGUCUGUCAGUCAUGGACUAUUUGUUCAAGCUGAUGGUUUUGGAAUAAAGAUGGGAAGGCGGGGUUGAAAAGCUGGAGC
rnacentral:lncRNA from 1 species